rnacentral:lncRNA from 1 species
CACGCUGCGCCCCAGAGAUGGACCCAGGACCCAUAGCAUGGUCCAAGCAUGGACCCAGCACCCCUUGAUGGACCUACUUUAUGAGCUACUAAUCACGCUGCGCCCCAGAGAUGGACCCAGGACCCAUAGCAUGGUCCAAGUAUGGACCCAGCACCCCUUGAUGGACCUACUUUAUGAGCUACUAAUCACGCUGCGCCCCAGAGAUGGACCCAGGACCCAUAGCAUGGUCCAAGUAUGGACCCAGCACCCCUUGAUGGACCUACUUUAUGAGCUACUAAUCACGCUGCGCCCCAGAGAUGGACCCAGGACCCAUAGCAUGGUCCAAGUAUGGACCCAGCACCCCUUGAUGGACCUACUUUAUGAGCUACUAAUCACGCUGCGCCCCAGAGAUGGACCCAGGACCCAUAGCAUGGUCCAAGUAUGGACCCAGCACCCCUUGAUGGACCUACUUUAUGAGCUACUAAUCACGCUGCGCCCCAGAGAUGGACCCAGGACCCAUAGCAUGGUCCAAGUAUGGACCCAGCACCCCUUGAUGGACCUACUUUAUGAGCUACUAAUCACGCUGCGCCCCAGAGAUGGACCCAGGACCCAUAGCAUGGUCCAAGUAUGGACCCAGCACCCCUUGAUGGACCUACUUUAUGAGCUACUAAUCACGCUGCGCCCCAGAGAUGGACCCAGGACCCAUAGCAUGGUCCAAGUAUGGACCCAGCACCCCUUGAUGGACCUACUUUAUGAGCUACUAAUCACGCUGCGCCCCAGAGAUGGACCCAGGACCCAUAGCAUGGUCCAAGUAUGGACCCAGCACCCCUUGAUGGACCUACUUUAUGAGCUACUAAUCACGCUGCGCCCCAGAGAUGGACCCAGGACCCAUAGCAUGGUCCAAGUAUGGACCCAGCACCCCUUGAUGGACCUACUUUAUGAGCUACUAAUCACGCUGCGCCCCAGAGAUGGACCCAGGACCCAUAGCAUGGUCCAAGUAUGGACCCAGCACCCCUUGAUGGACCUACUUUAUGAGCUACUAAUCACGCUGCGCCCCAGAGAUGGACCCAGGACCCAUAGCAUGGUCCAAGUAUGGACCCAGCACCCCUUGAUGGACCUACUUUAUGAGCUACUAAUCACGCUGCGCCCCAGAGAUGGACCCAGGACCCAUAGCAUGGUCCAAGUAUGGACCCAGCACCCCUUGAUGGACCUACUUUAUGAGCUACUAAUCACGCUGCGCCCCAGAGAUGGACCCAGGACCCAUAGCAUGGUCCAAGUAUGGACCCAGCACCCCUUGAUGGACCUACUUUAUGAGCUACUAAUCACGCUGCGCCCCAGAGAUGGACCCAGGACCCAUAGCAUGGUCCAAGUAUGGACCCAGCACCCCUUGAUGGACCUACUUUAUGAGCUACUAAUCACGCUGCGCCCCAGAGAUGGACCCAGGACCCAUAGCAUGGUCCAAGUAUGGACCCAGCACCCCUUGAUGGACCUACUUUAUGAGCUACUAAUCACGCUGCGCCCCAGAGAUGGACCCAGGACCCAUAGCAUGGUCCAAGUAUGGACCCAGCACCCCUUGAUGGACCUACUUUAUGAGCUACUAAUCACGCUGCGCCCCAGAGAUGGACCCAGGACCCAUAGCAUGGUCCAAGUAUGGACCCAGCACCCCUUGAUGGACCUACUUUAUGAGCUACUAAUCACGCUGCGCCCCAGAGAUGGACCCAGGACCCAUAGCAUGGUCCAAGUAUGGACCCAGCACCCCUUGAUGGACCUACUUUAUGAGCUACUAAUCACGCUGCGCCCCAGAGAUGGACCCAGGACCCAUAGCAUGGUCCAAGUAUGGACCCAGCACCCCUUGAUGGACCUACUUUAUGAGCUACUAAUCACGCUGCGCCCCAGAGAUGGACCCAGGACCCAUAGCAUGGUCCAAGCAUGGACCCAGCACCCAUACAGCGACCCAGGGAUGGACCCAGCACCCAUAACACGACCUAAACUGUCAUCUACUAAGCAUGUUGCGCCCCAGAGAUGGACCCAAGACCCAUAGCGUGACCCAGGCAUGGACCUGAAGCUCAUGGUGGGACCCAGGGAUGGACCCAGCACCCAUAGCAUGACCCAGGCAUGGACCUGAAGCUCAUGGUGGGACCCAGGGAUGGACCCAAGACCCAUAACAUGAUCUAUGUCAUGAUCUAACUAAUCAUGUUGUGACCCAGAGAUGGACCCAAGACCCAUAACACAACCUACAUUGUCAUCUACUAAGCAUGUUGUGACCCAUACAGGGACCCAGCACCCGUAGCGUGACCCAGGCAUGGACCUGAAGCUCGUGGUGGGACCCAGGGAUGGACCCAGCACCCCUUGAAGGACCUACAUUAUGAUCUACUAAUCAUGCUGCGCCCCAGAGUUGGGCUCAAGACCCAUAGCGUGACCCACGGAUGGACCUGAAGUUCAUGGUGGGACCCAGGGAUGGAGUCAGGACCUAUGGUGGGACUCACUGAUGGACCUAGCACCCACCCACGGCAGGACUCAUGGAUGGACCCAUGACCCACUAUCUGACCCAUAGCAUAACCCAGGAUCCAUGGCGUGACCCAUGGGUGAGGCCAGGACCCAUAGCAUGACCUGUGGUGCGACCCGCAACCCAUAGAUGGAUUCAGAACCUACGGUGGCUUCCAUGAUCACCCCGAGACCCAUAGCACAGCUCAGGGAUGGACCUAGGACCUAUGGUGGGACUCAGGGAUGGACCCAGGACCCAUAGCAUGACCCAGGGAUGGUCCCAGAACCCAUGGUUGGACCCACGGAUGGGCCCAAGACCUAUGGUGGGACUCAAGGAUGGACCCAGCCUCCCUAAUAUGACCCAUGGAUAGACCUGGGACCCAUGGUGGGACUCAGGGAUGGACCCAGGACCCAUCGCGGGACCCGUGGAUGGACCUGGGACCCAUAGUGUGACCCAUAGUUGGUCCCAGAACCCCUGGCAGGACUCAGGAAUGGGCCCAGGACCUAUGGAGUGACCCAUGGAUGAACCUAAGUCCUAUCGUGAGACCCAUGGCGUGACUUGGGCAU